rnacentral:rRNA from 1 species
GAUGAACGCUGGCGGCGUGCCUAAUACAUGCAAGUCGAGCGAACAGACGAGGAGCUUGCUCCUCUGACGUUAGCGGCGGACGGGUGAGUAACACGUGGAUAACCUACCUAUAAGACUGGGAUAACUUCGGGAAACCGGAGCUAAUACCGGAUAAUAUAUUGAACCGCAUGGUUCAAUAGUGAAAGACGGUUUUGCUGUCACUUAUAGAUGGAUCCGCGCCGCAUUAGCUAGUUGGUAAGGUAACGGCUUACCAAGGCAACGAUGCGUAGCCGACCUGAGAGGGGGAUCGGCCACACGGGAACUGAGACACGGCCCAGACCCCUACGGGAGGCAGCAGUAGGAAUCUUCCGCAAUGGGCGAAAGCCUGACGGAGCAACGCCGCGUGAGUGAUGAAGGUCUUCGGAUCGUAAAACUCUGUUAUUAGGGAAGAACAAAUGUGUAAGUAACUAUGCACGUCUUGACGGUACCUAAUCAGAAAGCCACGGCUAACUACGUG